GUCUGUCGUCUUGUUUGAAUAAGCAGCAUCGGUGUGACUGUAGUGGGAGACAUGAAUGACUAAACUCUGGCGAAAGUAUCUUGAUUCCCUAAUCCCUGUGAGUUAAUCUUUACUUCGAUCCUCACUUGUGGCUUCUCCAUUUCAUAGCUUUCAUUUUAUUUCUAGACCUAGCCUCCCAUUCUUCGCAUCUGCUCACCCCAUCUCGUCCACCUUCUUUUACCGUGUUCUCCCAUCUCUUCUUGGCAUCAUGGUUCUAUUGUUCACCAUUGAUUCAUCUCUAUUAGUGCCGUCGACGUUAGUUCCUGUUUCAUCCAUCCAUUCUGUCGUUAUGCUGGGGGCUGUUCUCGUUUUCUCUGUGUCGCAUCUUCCCUUUCACUUGCUCGAGUUUGCUUUCCAUCUAGUUGACGCAAUUGGGGUUCUCGGUUGCCCUCUCGGGUUUUUUCCCCUAUAUCUGUUUUUAUCAUUCUGUUGGUGUGUUUAGUUUCCCAAUUUUCCGUGCAAUUAAACUCCUCCUUGUUGUGUUUGCUUCGGUCGACCGCACUACCGGCGACAGCGAGGGAUUAGCUUCGGCAUUUUAUUAUGGAAGGCAAGAUCGUGUUGUUAAGCUUCACUGGGGCAGUCGAGCAUCGAGUUUAAUUUCAACAAUAAAGUCUAGUUUUUUUUUCAUUUUUCUUUCAUUUUUGUUCCUCAUUUUGCCAGAUCUUCAUACAUUUCUUCAUUCUUCUUCCAUUUGGGUUCUCUUUCUUUAUCGUUUCAGCCCUUUUUUUUCUUUAAAUAUCAGGCCACCCAACCUGCCUGACCCAUGGGCUUAGGCGGGCUCGGGUCAACUGUGUCCACCUUGAAACAGAAAACCAAACUGGAUGCACGGUUGGUUCGCUGAUUUGUCAGUCUGAUCGACUGGUCUGGUUUUAAAAACAAUGGCACAAACUACAGUUCAUGGUUU